UAGGGAAUCUUCGGCAAUGGGGGGAACCCUGACCGAGCAACGCCGCGUGAGUGAAGGAGGUUUUCGGAUCGUAAAGCUCUGUUGUUAAGGAAGAACGAGUGUGAGAAUGGAAAGUUCAUACUGUGACGGUACUUAACCAGAAAGGGACGGCUAACUACGUGCCAGCAGCCGCGGUAAUACGUAGGUCCCGAGCGUUGUCCGGAUUUAUUGGGCGUAAAGCGAGCGCAGGCGGUUAGAUAAGUCUGAAGUUAAAGGCAGUGGCUCAACCAUUGUAGGCUUUGGAAACUGUUUAACUUGAGUGCAGAAGGGGAGAGUGGAAUUCCAUGUGUAGCGGUGAAAUGCGUGGAUAUAUGGAGGAACACCGGUGGCGAAAGCGGCUCUCUGGUCUGUAACUGACGCUGAGGCUCGAAAGCGUGGGGAGCGAACAGG
rnacentral:rRNA from 1 species